rnacentral:rRNA from 1 species
CCUACGGGAGGCAGCAGUGGGGAAUUUUGGACAAUGGGCGAAAGCCUGAUCCAGCAAUGCCGCGUGAGUGAAGAAGGCCUUCGGGUUGUAAAGCUCUUUUGUCAGGGAAGAAACGGUGAGGGCUAAUAUCCUUUGCUAAUGACGGUACCUGAAGAAUAAGCACCGGCUAACUACGUGCCAGCAGCCGCGGUAAUACGUAGGGUGCAAGCGUUAAUCGGAAUUACUGGGCGUAAAGCGUGCGCAGGCGGUUUUGUAAGUCUGAUGUGAAAUCCCCGGGCUCAACCUGGGAAUUGCAUUGGAGACUGCAAGGCUAGAAUCUGGCAGAGGGGGGUAGAAUUCCACGUGUAGCAGUGAAAUGCGUAGAUAUGUGGAGGAACACCGAUGGCGAAGGCAGCCCCCUGGGUCAAGAUUGACGCUCAUGCACGAAAGCGUGGGGAGCAAACAGGAUUAGAUACCCUGGUAGUCCACGCCCUAAACGAUGUCUACUAGUUGUCGGGUCUUAAUUGACUUGGUAACGCAGCUAACGCGUGAAGUAGACCGCCUGGGGAGUACGGUCGCAAGAUUAAAACUCAAAAGGAAUUGACGG